rnacentral:rRNA from 1 species
UACAGGGGGUGCAAACGUUGCUCGGAAUCAUUGGGCGUAAAGCGCACGUAGGCGGUUCGUUAUGUCGGAUGUGAAAGCCCUUGGCUUAACCGAGGAAGUGCAUCCGAAACUGGCGAGCUAGAGUACUAAAGAGGAUCGCGGAAUUCCCGGUGUAGAGGUGAAAUUCGUAGAUAUCGGGAGGAACACCGGUGGCGAAGGCGGCCCCCUGGGCCGGCCCUGACACUGAGACGCGAAGGCGUGGGGAGCGAACGGG